ACACGCAUGACACACUGCAUAUCAAUAAGCGGAGGAAAAGAAACUAACAAGGAUUCCCUUAGUAACGGCGAGUGAAGCGGGAAGAGCUCAAAUUUGAAAUCUUCAAGGUUCUACCUUGACGAAUUGUAGUUUAUAGAAGUGUUUUCUGUUAGUAGAGUGGCAAAAGUUCUUUGGAAUAGGACAUCAUAGAGGGUGAGAAUCCCGUAUUUGGUCAUUCCUUCUAGCUUUGUGAUACACUUUCAAAGAGUCGGAUUGUUUGGGAAUGCAGUCCAAAAUGGGUGGUAAAUUUCAUCUAAAGCUAAAUAUUGGCGAGAGACCGAUAGCGAACAAGUACCGUGAGGGAAAGAUGAAAAGAACUUUGAAAAGAGAGUUAAACAGUACGUGAAAUUGUCAAAAGGGAAGCGUUUGACACCAGUGUUGUUUUUCCGAAAAUCAAUUAAGAAUGUUUUAUUUUUGAGGAGUUAUGACUUCAUCGGCUUGCUCCUUUCUUUAUGAAACUUUCUUAAUGCACUUUUCGGUUAACAAGUCAACAUCAAUUUCUUUUGUUGUAAAAGGGUAUGAGGAAGGUGGCUUUCUUUUCGGAGAAAGUGUUUAUAGCCUUGUACCUCUGCAAUCGGAGAGAUUGAGGUCUGCAGCGUAGAUCCUUCGGGGUUAGAUACAUUUGUGCUAAGUUAUAGCUUUUCAUAGACAACUUGUUGACUAUGUUAAGUCUUGUAGCUUACUCGCUUAUGCUAUUUUACCUACGCUUAGGAUGUUGAGUCGUAGAGCACGCAG
rnacentral:rRNA from 1 species